CGAAUAGCGAAAUGAAGAGAGCUAUCCGUCGACAGUCAAGUUAUAUACCGAUUGUAAUACUGUCAUGGAAUUGCUCUCUUUGUAUAAUAUUCG
rfam:Drosophila grimshawi strain TSC#15287-2541.00 scaffold_15245 genomic scaffold, whole genome shotgun sequence.